rnacentral:rRNA from 1 species
GGUUAAGCGACUAAGCGUACACGGUGGAUGCCCUGGCAGUCAGAGGCGAUGAAGGACGUGCUAAUCUGCGAUAAGCGUCGGUAAGGUGAUAUGAACCGUUAUAACCGGCGAUUUCCGAAUGGGGAAACCCAGUGUGUUUCGACACACUAUCAUUAACUGAAUCCAUAGGUUAAUGAGGCGAACCGGGGGAACUGAAACAUCUAAGUACCCCGAGGAAAAGAAAUCAACCGAGAUUCCCCCAGUAGCGGCGAGCGAACGGGGAGCAGCCCAGAGCCUGAAUCAGUGUGUGUGUUAGUGGAAGCGUCUGGAAAGGCGCGCGAUACAGGGUGACAGCCCCGUACACAAAAAUGCACAUGCUGUGAGCUCGAUGAGUAGGGCGGGACACGUGGUAUCCUGUCUGAAUAUGGGGGGACCAUCCUCCAAGGCUAAAUACUCCUGACUGACCGAUAGUGAACCAGUACCGUGAGGGAAAGGCGAAAAGAACCCCGGCGAGGGGAGUGAAAAAGAACCUGAAACCGUGUACGUACAAGCAGUGGGAGCACGCUUAGGCGUGUGACUGCGUACCUUUUGUAUAAUGGGUCAGCGACUUAUAUUCUGUAGCAAGGUUAACCGAAUAGGGGAGCCGAAGGGAAACCGAGUCUUAACUGGGCGUUAAGUUGCAGGGUAUAGACCCGAAACCCGGUGAUCUAGCCAUGGGCAGGUUGAAGGUUGGGUAACACUAACUGGAGGACCGAACCGACUAAUGUUGAAAAAUUAGCGGAUGACUUGUGGCUGGGGGUGAAAGGCCAAUCAAACCGGGAGAUAGCUGGUUCUCCCCGAAAGCUAUUUAGGUAGCGCCUCGUGAAUUCAUCUCCGGGGGUAGAGCACUGUUUCGGCAAGGGGGUCAUCCCGACUUACCAACCCGAUGCAAACUGCGAAUACCGGAGAAUGUUAUCACGGGAGACACACGGCGGGUGCUAACGUCCGUCGUGAAGAGGGAAACAACCCAGACCGCCAGCUAAGGUCCCAAAGUCAUGGUUAAGUGGGAAACGAUGUGGGAAGGCCCAGACAGCCAGGAUGUUGGCUUAGAAGCAGCCAUCAUUUAAAGAAAGCGUAAUAGCUCACUGGUCGAGUCGGCCUGCGCGGAAGAUGUAACGGGGCUAAACCAUGCACCGAAGCUGCGGCAGCGACGCUUAUGCGUUGUUGGGUAGGGGAGCGUUCUGUAAGCCUGUGAAGGUGUGCUGUGAGGCAUGCUGGAGGUAUCAGAAGUGCGAAUGCUGACAUAAGUAACGAUAAAGCGGGUGAAAAGCCCGCUCGCCGGAAGACCAAGGGUUCCUGUCCAACGUUAAUCGGGGCAGGGUGAGUCGACCCCUAAGGCGAGGCCGAAAGGCGUAGUCGAUGGGAAACAGGUUAAUAUUCCUGUACUUGGUGUUACUGCGAAGGGGGGACGGAGAAGGCUAUGUUGGCCGGGCGACGGUUGUCCCGGUUUAAGCGUGUAGGCUGGUUUUCCAGGCAAAUCCGGAAAAUCAAGGCUGAGGCGUGAUGACGAGGCACUACGGUGCUGAAGCAACAAAUGCCCUGCUUCCAGGAAAAGCCUCUAAGCAUCAGGUAACAUCAAAUCGUACCCCAAACCGACACAGGUGGUCAGGUAGAGAAUACCAAGGCGCUUGAGAGAACUCGGGUGAAGGAACUAGGCAAAAUGGUGCCGUAACUUCGGGAGAAGGCACGCUGAUAUGUAGGUGAAGUCCCUCGCGGAUGGAGCUGAAAUCAGUCGAAGAUACCAGCUGGCUGCAACUGUUUAUUAAAAACACAGCACUGUGCAAACACGAAAGUGGACGUAUACGGUGUGACGCCUGCCCGGUGCCGGAAGGUUAAUUGAUGGGGUUAGCGCAAGCGAAGCUCUUGAUCGAAGCCCCGGUAAACGGCGGCCGUAACUAUAACGGUCCUAAGGUAGCGAAAUUCCUUGUCGGGUAAGUUCCGACCUGCACGAAUGGCGUAAUGAUGGCCAGGCUGUCUCCACCCGAGACUCAGUGAAAUUGAACUCGCUGUGAAGAUGCAGUGUACCCGCGGCAAGACGGAAAGACCCCGUGAACCUUUACUAUAGCUUGACACUGAACAUUGAGCCUUGAUGUGUAGGAUAGGUGGGAGGCUUUGAAGUGUGGACGCCAGUCUGCAUGGAGCCGACCUUGAAAUACCACCCUUUAAUGUUUGAUGUUCUAACGUUGACCCGUAAUCCGGGUUGCGGACAGUGUCUGGUGGGUAGUUUGACUGGGGCGGUCUCCUCCUAAAGAGUAACGGAGGAGCACGAAGGUUGGCUAAUCCUGGUCGGACAUCAGGAGGUUAGUGCAAUGGCAUAAGCCAGCUUGACUGCGAGCGUGACGGCGCGAGCAGGUGCGAAAGCAGGUCAUAGUGAUCCGGUGGUUCUGAAUGGAAGGGCCAUCGCUCAACGGAUAAAAGGUACUCCGGGGAUAACAGGCUGAUACCGCCCAAGAGUUCAUAUCGACGGCGGUGUUUGGCACCUCGAUGUCGGCUCAUCACAUCCUGGGGCUGAAGUAGGUCCCAAGGGUAUGGCUGUUCGCCAUUUAAAGUGGUACGCGAGCUGGGUUUAGAACGUCGUGAGACAGUUCGGUCCCUAUCUGCCGUGGGCGCUGGAGAACUGAGGGGGGCUGCUCCUAGUACGAGAGGACCGGAGUGGACGCAUCACUGGUGUUCGGGUUGUCAUGCCAAUGGCACUGCCCGGUAGCUAAAUGCGGAAGAGAUAAGUGCUGAAAGCAUCUAAGCACGAAACUUGCCCCGAGAUGAGUUCUCCCUGACCCUUUAAGGGUCCUGAAGGAACGUUGAAGACGACGACGUUGAUAGGCCGGGUGUGUAAGCGCAGCGAUGCGUUGAGCUAACCGGUACUAAUGAACCGUGAGGCUUAACCUUACAACGCCGAAGCUGUUUUG